CUCUUUCUCUCCCUCUUUCUUUUCCUCCAUUGAAGCAUCCUUCCAAGCUUCUUAUCCAAGGCUCAUCUUGGUGGUGAAGCUCCUUCUUCCAUGGCUUAUUCCCUAGUGGAUGGCGCCUCCUCUCACCUAUUCUCCUUUGUCUUCCGCUGCAUCUCCAUGGUGGAAAAUCACCAUUAAAGGACCUCAUUGAAGUUCAAAG
rnacentral:lncRNA from 1 species